rnacentral:rRNA from 1 species
UACGUAGGGUGCGAGCGUUAAUCGGAAUUACUGGGCGUAAAGUGUGCGCAGGCGGCGUCGCAAGUCGAGUGUGAAAGCCCCGAGCUUAACUUGGGAAUUGCGCUCGAAACUACGAUGCUGGAGUAUGGCAGAGGAAGGUGGAAUUCCACGUGUAGCGGUGAAAUGCGUAGAGAUGUGGAGGAACACCGAUGGCGAAGGCAGCCUUCUGGGCCAAUACUGACGCUCAUGCACGAAAGCGUGGGGAGCAAACAGG